UGCAAGUCGAGCGGAAACGAUCCCAGCUUGCUGGGAGGCGUCGAGCGGCGGACGGGUGAGUAAUGCAUAGGAAUCUGCCCGAUAGUGGGGGAUAACCUGAGGAAACUCAGGCUAAUACCGCAUACGUCCUACGGGAGAAAGCAGGGGCUCUUCGGACCUUGCGCUAUCGGAUGAGCUUAUGUCGGAUUAGCUGGUUGGUGAGGUAACGGCUCACCAAGGCGACGAUCCGUAGCUGGUCUGAGAGGAUGAUCAGCCACAUCGGGACUGAGACACGGCCCGAACUCCUACGGGAGGCAGCAGUGGGGAAUAUUGGACAAUGGGGGCAACCCUGAUCCAGCCAUGCCGCGUGUGUGAAGAAGGCCCUCGGGUUGUAAAGCACUUUCAGUGAGGAAGAAUGCUUGUCGGUUAAUACCCGGCAAGGGAGACAUCACUCACAGAAGAAGCACCGGCUAACUCCGUGCCAGCAGCCGCGGUAAUACGGAGGGUGCGAGCGUUAAUCGGAAUUACUGGGCGUAAAGCGCGCGUAGGCGGCUUGAUAAGCCGGUUGUGAAAGCCCCGGGCUCAACCUGGGAACGGCAUCCGGAACUGUCAGGCUAGAGUGCAGGAGAGGAAAGGUAGAAUUCCCGGUGUAGCGGUGAAAUGCGUAGAGAUCGGGAGGAAUACCAGUGGCGAAGCGGCCUUCUGGACUGACACUGACGCUGAGUGCGAAAGCGUGGGUAGCAAACAGGAUUAGAUACCCUGGUAGUCCACGCCGUAAACGAUGUCGACUAGCCGUUGGGGUCCUCGAGACCUUUGUGGCGCAGUUAACGCACUAAGUCGACCGCCUGGGGAGUACGGCGCAAGGUAAACUCAAAUGAAUGACGGGGCCGCACNAGCGGUGGACAUGUGGU
rnacentral:rRNA from 1 species